rnacentral:rRNA from 1 species
UACGUAGGGGGCUAGCGUUGUCCGGAAUCAUUGGGCGUAAAGCGCGUGUAGGCGGUCCGGUAAGUCCGCUGUGAAAGUCGGGGGCUCAACCCUCGAAUGCCGGUGGAUACUGUCGGGCUAGAGUGCGGAAGAGGCGAGUGGAAUUCCUGGUGUAGCGGUGAAAUGCGCAGAUAUCAGGAGGAACACCAAUUGCGAAGGCAGCUCGCUGGGACGUAACUGACGCUGAGAACGCGAAAGCGUGGGGAGCAAACAGG